CCUACGGGGGGCAGCAGUGAGGAAUAUUGGUCAAUGGACGAGAGUCUGACCCAGCCAAGUAGCGUGAAGGAUGACGGCCCUCUGGGUUGUAAACUUCUUUUAUAUGGGAGUAAAAUGUUCCGCGAGUGGGGUUUUGUAUGUACCAUAUGAAUAAGGAUCGGCUAACUCCGUGCCAGCAGCCGCGGUAAUUCGGAGGAUCCGAGCGUUAUCCGGAUUUAUUGGGUUUAAAGGGAGAGUAGGUGGAUUGUUAAGUCAGUUGUGAAAGUUUGAGGCUCAACCGUAAAAUUGCAGUUGAAACUGGCAGUCUUGAGUACAGGAGAGGUGGGCGGAAUUCGUGGUGUAGCGGUGAAAUGCUUAGAUAUCACGAAGAACUCCGAUUGCGAAGGCAGCUCACUGGACUGCAACUGACACUGAGGCGCGAAAGUGUGGGUAUCAAACAGGAUUAGAUACCCCAGUAGUC
rnacentral:rRNA from 1 species